UCGUUCUCCUUGAUUACAUUCAAAGCACACAUUAGUAUGUCUCCACUCUCCCCGUUCAACUUUCACCUUUCGAACUUAAUGUGUGUUCUGAAUGCUAUCAGUGUAGGGCACACCACUCUGGUUUACUAUUUUCUUAUAUACCACAGAGUACUUUCUGUGGUAACUAACUCAACCACCGUCGCUCGAUCUAUGUGGUCGGACUAGCUACUUUAUCAUCUUUUAUCAAUUACCUUUUCCCUUUGAUUUUACCUUUUCUUAUUUUGUCACGCUCUGUACCUUUUUAGUUCUUUCAUAUUCAUUUUGUUUCAAGUGUCCUUCCUUCGUCAUCUACUUUAUUUUUACGUCCAUGGUUCACUUCAUUACUUGUAUUGUUUUCUGAGUGUGGUAAAAAGGGGAGGAUUAGGUUUGACUUUUUACUAGCUUCGUCAUCAUUUUUCUUUUAAAGUUACUCUUAUUUUAGUAUUCUUAUUCUAUUACUGCAUUACUCAUCAUCCUCCUUACACCUCAAGGCGUAAGCAUUCAUCACACCCGGUACGUUCGCAUUACCACUAUCAAUCAGCAUGCCAUUCUCACAUUUACUUCAAACUAAGAUCGUACACUUUUUCUCACACCACGCAUUCUACACUUUCUAUUCCCAUUUUCGUCUUGUCACGUAUACCCACAAUUCAGUAUGUCGACCGUAGACACCGUUAUUGCCGAACCAACUUACGAGAGCAGAGGCCAGCUAAUCGUUUCUGUCGAGGGGAAUAUUGGAAGCGGGAAAAGCACGUUCCUCUCCUACUGCUCACAGGAUCCAGCGUUCGACGUUUUCAGUGAGCCUGUCGACACUUGGUCUAAUGUCGGUGGGACCAACUUGCUCGAGCAAUUUUACUCGGAUCCUGCGAAGUGGGGAUUCCCAUUUCAAAUGGAAGUAAUGAUUACUUUGCUCGAUCGCUAUCUGCGAAUCUCACCACGUCGUAUCAAGCUAGUUGAGCGGUCACUGUUGAGCGCUCGUCAUUGUUUCCAGCGGUGUAUGCUUGCACAUGGUCAUUUGGAUUCCGUUUC